rnacentral:rRNA from 1 species
UACGUAGGGUGCGAGCGUUGCCCGGAUUUAUUGGGCGUAAAGGGCGCGUAGGCGCCACGCACGUCCGUUGUGAAAUCGCCCGGCUCAACUGGGCGGGGUCGGCGGAUACGGCGUGGCUGGAGCAAGCUAGGGGGCAAUGGAAUUCCCGGUGUAGUGGUGGAAUGCGUAGAUAUCGGGAGGAACACCAGUGGCGAAGGCGGUUGCCUGGAGCUUUGCUGACGCUGAGGCGCGAAAAGCGUGGGGGAGCGAUCCGG